rnacentral:rRNA from 1 species
GACGAACGCUGGCGGCGUGCCUAAUACAUGCAAGUAGAACGCUGAAGAGAGGAGCUUGCUCUUCUUGGAAGAGUUGCGAACGGGUGAGUAACGCGUAGGUAACCUGCCUUGUAGCGGGGGAUAACUAUUGGAAACGAUAGCUAAUACCGCAUAACAAUGGGUGACCCAUGUCAUUCAUUUAAAAGGGGCAACUGCUCCACUACAAGAUGGACCUGCGUUGUAUUAGCUAGUAGGUGAGGUAACGGCUCACCUAGGCGACGAUACAUAGCCGACCUGAGAGGGUGAUCGGCCACACUGGGACUGAGACACGGCCCAGACUCCUACGGGAGGCAGCAGUAGGGAAUCUUCGGCAAUGGGGGCAACCCUGACCGAGCAACGCCGCGUGAGUGAAGAAGGUUUUCGGAUCGUAAAGCUCUGUUGUAAGUCAAGAACGAGUGUGAGAGUGGAAAGUUCACACUGUGACGGUAGCUUACCAGAAAGGGACGGCUAACUACGUGCCAGCAGCCGCGGUAAUACGUAGGUCCCGAGCGUUGUCCGGAUUUAUUGGGCGUAAAGCGAGCGCAGGCGGUUUGAUAAGUCUGAAGUUAAAGGCUGUGGCUCAACCAUAGUUUGCUUUGGAAACUGUCAAACUUGAGUGCAGAAGGGGAGAGUGGAAUUCCAUGUGUAGCGGUGAAAUGCGUAGAUAUAUGGAGGAACACCGGUGGCGAAAGCGGCUCUCUGGUCUGUAACUGACGCUGAGGCUCGAAAGCGUGGGGAGCGAACAGGAUUAGAUACCCUAGUAGUCCAAGGGCGAAUUCCACAGUGGAUAUCAAGCUUAUCGAUACCGUCGACCUCGAGGGGGGGCCCGGUACCCAGCUUUUNNNCCUANNNNNNGGGGGGUNNA